CAGUCAGGUUCUGGAGGGCAGAACAACCAGUCAGUCAGAGGCAGUCAGGUAUGAUUACCUGUGGACCAGCAUGAGGCAGCGUCAGGUACUGGAUACCUGGUUAUUUAAUUGAAGUCUUCGCAUGGAGUAUGUCUUCGAGUUGGAGGUCGGCAGCCUUUGACCAGCAUUAUUGUGUUUUCGUCGUCAAGAGGACGACGUGUCAAGUGCGACCUCACUGGGCAGCAGCAGUGACGUGUUUUCGUCCAGUGGUCGAGGAGGACUUCCAUACUGCAUCUGAGGACGAGAUGGUUGUUGUGUCAACUCUGUCUUGAUCGUCCAGCAUUCGAGGAGGAUGUCCAUAUUGUCUCCAAGGACGAGGUGGUUGUCGUAUCGGCUCUAUCUUGAUCGUCCGGCAUUGGACUGUUGUCCUCAUCGUUUAAAGAAGUGUUCCCGUUUUGCUCUGACUAUCAUUAUGCCGCUUCAGUGUUAAUUUUAAUUAAUUAUUAUGCUGCCUAUUUCUAUUAAUUAUAUUUACAUAUUAUUAUUGUUAGUUUAUAAGUUUUGUGUGUUUCUGCCACCCAGAUCCUUGACUCACUGUACAUUAUGUAUUUAAAUCUUGUAAAUAAAUUAAUUUUAAGGUAA